UCUACAGAAGAAGAAGAAUUAGAAAGUAAUAAAAAUAAGACAUCCUUUAUAAUAUAAUGUGAAAAUUUCCAAAUCGAAACUAAAUUAACUGCAGUGGUUUUACUGCAUAUCAAUGAUACGGUGCCGUAGUGUGCGUGACGACCUUUAGAUUUACAAUAUAAGUAAUGCCGUUUAGCGUUGAAUUUUUUUUUAAUUAAUACUCUCUUCAGAUUCUCGAGAAACACCUCCUACUACGGGGGUAGGUGAAUGUAGUCACCUACAUUUUCAAUUUAUUCGGUUACAAAAUGGACGUGAUUCUAGUGGAACAUUGGAAUUUAUGAGCAGUGAACGUACCGAGAUGCAACAAAGUGUAUACGAUUCGGUAGAGCCACUUUGAAAUUUACUACUCGGGGUGUUUUCGAGGUCGCAGAGCACGACAAUGACCUGCGAGGUACCUGGUGCACGUAUUGGCAUCGUCUCCUGCAGUCUCGUGGAAAUACGUUAUGUAAUUGGAGGAAUAUUUAUAUCUUGGGGGUUUUAGAGGUCGCUGAAUACGAAUAUUACCUGCGAUACACCUGGUUGCCGGGGUAGAUGGUUUUUAAGUCGUAUCUUGAUCCUUCUGGUUCUUUAUGUACAUAUACGUUAACUUCUGGAAUCCAGGUACUUCGGAGGUCAUCGUCGUCGUGAAAUUCUUGUGUAAUGACCUCGAAAUCCUCCAGAAUGUGGUGGAUAUUCGAUUAAUUUAACGUGUUUCCAUAGGGCUCCAGAAGAUGACUUAUAAACCAUCAACCCCGGGCAACCAAAACCCUAGUUGAUCUUUUCUGUCGUGAUUUCGUGUUCAGAAACCUUGUACACCCAGGAAUACAUAUAUUCGACCAAUUUCAUAAUGAUUUUCCUUGAAACUCUAAUAGACGACGUAGAUGUCGUCCAACUUGUGACUCAGGUACUUCGUAGCCCUUUUCUGUCGUGAGUUCGUGUUCAGGAACAUCAAAAACCUCCAGAGGAUAUAUAUUCAACCAAUUUUAUAAUAAUUUUAUUUGACACUCCAGUAGACGACGUAGAUGUCGCCCAACUUGUACACCAGAUAUCUCGUAGACCUUUUCUUUCGUGAUUCGACUAUUCGAAGUGCACUUUUCAAAAAACAUUCGUUCCCUGCACAAAUGCAAUUACAUUCCUUAUUAACAAUUUUUAUUUCCCGAGACUGUCCCAUAUCAAAUACAUUUAGUUGCAUCUUACUGUUUAGAUAUUCCUAAUUUUUCGUCUUAUUUCCUGGACUAAAUUGUGUAGAUUCGCGCCAUAAAAACCGACACUAGCCGAGGAUAUACGAUCACAACGUUUCCGCUUUCGUACUCGCUUUCCGCCAUGCAGUCUCGUGAAGAAUAUGGAGGUGGUAGCGCCCCGUUAGUUCUUCCAAGUUUUCUAAUUUCAAUAGAUAAUCUGAUGAAACUAUUAAAGGUAUAUAGUUGUUGAAAUGCUUUACGUUCGAAAUAAAAUAAAAAAAGAAAAGCACCUUAUAUAGGAUGUCCCGUUCGGAGGAAGAAAGAAAUUACGUUGUUGUUUCCCUACUUCAAGUAUUCUCAGGAAUAUAUAAUGGCGAGCUUAAAAGUAAGUGGUGUGCAGUGCCAUAAUAGAAAAAUGGACGUGGAAAAAAUAACGGACUCUACAAGUCUCAAGAAAUGCAAAUAAACCUCAGCAUGGUUCCUAAUUAUAAUAAAUCGGUUCUUCAACAAUAAAUUCAAAUUUUAAAAAUUGUGGCGAUAUUUGCGUUAAUUAUUUUAUUUAAUUUAAAAUAUUUUUUAUUUACCUUAAAUCCAUUAAAAAUGCCCUAAAAACCAUUUUUUUUUUAAAAUUAUGUUAAAUAUUAAAAAAUUAUUUUUGUUUAAUCAUUGUCUGAUAACUAUAGAAAAAAAUUUUUUCUAUUAAAAAUAAAUUUUCCUCCACGUUUUCAAUUUUUUUAUAAAUAUUCAUUAUUAAAAAUAAUCACAAUAAUUUUUUUAUUUUUUCCUAUUUAAAAGAAAUUUUGAAUAUAUUGAAAAGAAUUAUUAAAAAUUUCCAAAUUUUAUUAAAAAGCAAAUUUUCCUAAAUACAAUUUUUAUUAAAAAAAAAAACUUUUAUUGUUUUAUUUUUUUCGUCUGAUUAAAAAGACAAUGUAAGAAUUAUUUUU